rnacentral:rRNA from 1 species
GAUGAACGCUAGCGGGAGGCCUAACACAUGCAAGCCGAGCGGUAUUGUUUCUUCGGACAUGAGAGAGCGGCGUACGGGUGCGUAACACGUGUGCAACCUGCCUUUAUCUGGGGGAUAGCCUUUCGAAAGGAAGAUUAAUACUCCAUAAUAUAUUGAACGGCAUCGUUUAAUAUUGAAAGCUCCGGCGGAUAGAGAUGGGCACGCGCAAGAUUAGCUAGUUGGUGAGGUAACGGCUCACCAAGGCGAUGAUCUUUAGGGGGCCUGAGAGGGUGAGCCCCCACACUGGUACUGGGACACGGACCAGACUCCUACGGGAGGGAGCAGUGAGGAAUAUUGGUCAAUGGAUGCAAGCCUGAACCAGCCAUCCCGCGUGAAGGACGACUGCCCUAUGGGUUGUAAACUUCUUUUGUAUAGGGAUAAACCUACCCUCGAGAGGGUAGCUGAAGGUACUAUACGAAUAAGCACCGGCUAACUCCGUG